CUACGGGUUGCAGCAGUGGGGAAUAUUGCACAAUGGAGGAAACUCUGAUGCAGCAACGCCGCGUGGAGGAUGACACUUUUCGGAGCGUAAACUCCUUUUAUAUAGGAAGAAGAUGACGGUACUAUAUGAAUAAGCGCCGGCUAACUCCGUGCCAGCAGCCGCGGUAAUACGGAGGGCGCAAGCGUUACUCGGAAUCACUGGGCGUAAAGAGCGUGUAGGCGGAUUAAAAAGUCAGAAGUGAAAUCCUAUAGCUUAACUAUAGAACUGCUUCUGAAACUCUUAAUCUAGAAUAUGGGAGAGGUAGAUGGAAUUUCUGGUGUAGGGGUAAUAUCCGUAGAGAUCAGAAGGAAUACCGAUUGCGAAGGCGAUCUGCUAGAACAUUAUUGACGCUGAGACGCGAAAGCGUGGGGAGCAAACAGGAUUAGAUACCCCUGUAGUC
rnacentral:rRNA from 1 species